AGAGACAGCAGCAGCCGCGGUAAUACGUAGGUCCCGAGCGUUGUCCGGAUCUAUUGGGCGUAAAGGGCGCGUAGGCGGACAGUUAAGUUGGGGGUGAAAGUCCGGGGCUCAACCUCGGAAUUGCCUUCAAUACUGGCUGUCUUGAGUAUGAGAGAGGUGUGUGGAACUCCGAGUGUAGAGGUGAAAUUCGUAGUUAUUCGGAAGAACACCUGUGGCGAAGGCGACACACUGGCUCAUUACUGACGCUGAGGCGCGAAAGCGUGGGGAGCAAACAGGAUUAGAUACCCCUGUAGUCCCUGUCUCUUAUAC
rnacentral:rRNA from 1 species